rnacentral:rRNA from 1 species
AGCGAACGCUGGCGGCAGGCUUAACACAUGCAAGUCGAACGCCCCGCAAGGGGAGUGGCAGACGGGUGAGUAAUACGUGGGAACGUACCCUUUGGUUCGGAAUAACUUGGGGAAACUCAAGCUAAUACCGGAUAGGCCUUUAUGGGGAAAGGUUUACUGCCGAAGGAUCGGCCCGCGUCUGAUUAGCUAGUUGGUGAGGUAAUGGCUCACCAAGGCGACGAUCAGUAGCUGGUCUGAGAGGAUGAUCAGCCACACUGGGACUGAGACACGGCCCAGACUCCUACGGGAGGCAGCAGUGGGGAAUAUUGGACAAUGGGGGCAACCCUGAUCCAGCCAUGCCGCGUGAGUGAUGAAGGCCUUAGGGUUGUAAAGCUCUUUUACCCGGGACGAUAAUGACUGUACCGGGAGAAUAAGCCCCGGCUAACUUCGUGCCAGCCGCCGCAGUAA